rnacentral:rRNA from 1 species
AGUGAACGCUGGCGGUAGGCCUGACACAUGCAAGUCGAACGGCAGCACAGUAAGAGCUUGCUCUUACGGGUGGCGAGUGGCGGACGGGUGAGGAAUACAUCGGAAUCUACUUUUUCGUGGGGGAUAGCGUAGGGAAACUUACGCUAAUACCGCAUACGACCUACGGGUGAAAGCAGGGGAUCUUCGGACCUUGCGCGAUUGAAUGAGCCGAUGUCGGAUUAGCUAGUUGGCGGGGUAAAGGCCCACCAAGGCGACGAUCCGUAGCUGGUCUGAGAGGAUGAUCAGCCACACUGGAACUGAGACACGGUCCAGACUCCUACGGGAGGCAGCAGUGGGGAAUAUUGGACAAUGGGCGCAAGCCUGAUCCAGCCAUACCGCGUGGGUGAAGAAGGCCUUCGGGUUGUAAAGCCCUUUUGUUGGGAAAGAAAAGCAGCAGGUUAAUACCCCGCUGUUCUGACGGUACCCAAAGAGUAAGCACCGGCUAACUUCGUG